GACAAUUUGGCCGAGUUGGUCUAAGGCGUCCGACUCAAGAGUAAUCUUCCACUGAUUGCAGUGCAUUCGGAUCUCGUAAGAGGCGUGGGUUCGAAUCCCACAGUUGUCA
rnacentral:tRNA from 1 species